rnacentral:misc_RNA from 1 species
CAGAGUUGCAAAACUCCCAACCCUUUGCGAACGAACUAGACAGUUGCCUCGGCGGAGGGCCCUUCAGGGGGCUGUCCGCCGGAGGACCGCUAAACUCUUGUAUUUUUGGCCUCUCUGAGUAAUUCUAUAAUGAAUCA